rnacentral:rRNA from 1 species
UUUCCGAAGGUGAACCUGCGGAAGGAUCAUUA